CCAGGAGUUUCCUUUCCUAUUAAUUUUAUCCAAAAUUCAUUUCUUCUUAUACUCCUAUAAUACUAGAAGUUUUCAACAUAGGAAUACCAUUAUGGUGAUGAAUAAUAAGCUUGAUUGAUUGAGAUGGAAUCUUUUCUUCAUCAGAGUGCUAAAAACAGAGAAUUUUUUGCUUUCUCCGUAAGUCAUGGGCGUUGAUAGAAGGACUUCUAUCUGAUAAAGAUGGACUUGAAAGCAUUCUUGAUUCUCAUUCUAUGGUCAAACAAAUUAAUGACAAGCAAGCCGGGCAUGGCGUCAAGAUCAAGAUGGCGAUGUCAUGAGGUCCUACUUUGCCGGUCUUCUCUGCGCCUGUUCGCCGCCCACCGUCCACUGUUGGGCCUUUCGACGAAUCCCCGCUGUGAUGAGCUUCCAACGUCCAUUCGGUUUUCGGUUCCCGGCGUGUGCGUGAUCGGAGUGUGCUGUUUCUUUUCUUGUUUUAUUUCCAUGUUCUGUUGCUUCUUUAAGAUGUAUUUGUGUUUUGGCGUAUGCUUUUUCCCUGUAUUGUUUAUUUCUCUGUUUUGUUCGGCUUGUAAUAAGGCUCUUUCCUCUUUCACUCGAUCUAUGUCGCCUUCGGGUUAAUUAAUUUUGGUCCAGACCUUUGGGUUGUGAAUGUGAUCAUUAUCCUGGCCUUCGAGUCGAGGAGGAAGAGUUUCGGCAUGAGAGUCUUUCCGCUCUCAGGGUCGAGGAAUAAUUACUAUCUAUGCAUUUGAUUGAGUC